rfam:Aspergillus clavatus NRRL 1 1099423829806 genomic scaffold, whole genome shotgun sequence.
ACUGCCACAGUUCAAAGAAUCACUUUAGAGUAGACGUCCCACCUCUGAGCUCUUCUAAAGAGCCACAGAAUCUCCACCCUUGCUGAUGACUGCUAUGUCCUCGAUGCCCUAAAGUGAAGCCGUUCUUACUCCCGCCUCGACCCCGCGGCGCUCCGACGCUCACAACGAUUCUGUCGCAAGACGGAGUCUGUUUGGGCUGUUGGUUGCUGCGAUGGUCCAGGGAGUGGUGAUGAUCUUGACCUUGUCCUGACGUCUUGACUUCGGUCGGUCGGAUUUGGUGGGCGUCGAGGAGGUCUGAAAGGU